ensembl:lncRNA
CAUGUUAGUCCUGCUUCUUUUCAAUCAACGUUCUAAUGGUCAGUUUGUAGAACAUCAGUGUACCAGAUGCUUUACUCUCUCUGGUUUAGUUCAGCAGAGCUCAGGUAUGUAGCGCCUCACUCUGAUUGGCUGCUGUGCUGAAUGUUUCCUUUUUUGUCUCUGUUCUGUGUUGUUUCCUCUGUUAGACCAGAAAAACAUCACAGCUGAGUCUGGGCAGAACAUCUCGCUGCCAUGUGGAGCUCCAACUAAUAAUAAUCAGAUCUUGGCUGUUCAGUGGAGCAGAGCUGACCUGAAGCAAGAAUAUGUGCUUUUGUACAGAGAUGAGGUUUUUGUUCCAGACAACCAGCAUCCAGCUUUUAAGAACCGGGUGGAUCUGCAGGACAGACAGAUGAAGGAUGGAGACGUGUCUUUGAUUCUGAAGAAUGUGACAUUUAACGACACUGGAACAUACGAGUGUCGCAUCUUCAGGAGAGGAACAAACCACAGGAUUAGUACCAUCACCUUGAGUGUUGUUCCUCCAGGUCCACCACAAGGACACACAGCAGACAGAGAGGAGGAGGGUGGAGUCAGCAGAGGACACUUUGGACUGGCAGCUGCUGUUGUUGUUGCUUAUCUAAUCAUCAUUGCUGUGAUGGCUGCUGUUUUGAUCUCCCGUUAAUUGAUAUACGUCUAUAUGGGUGAAUGAGACAUGUUGUAUAAAGUGCUUUGAGUGCUCCAGGAGAGUAGAAAAGCGCUAUAUAAGAAUAAGUCCAUUUACCAUCAUUUACACCAGCAGCACCACCAGCACUGGACUCCCUGUCAGAGCGGUGAAUGUUGUCCAGGAUAAAGACAAUGUUGGAUAAUACCUCCCACCAAUGUUCCCUCUAAGCUGCGCAAUUGCGCACUGCUGGCACGGUCUCUGCACACAAAAAAUCUGCGUUGCGCACAAAAAAAUCUAACCUGAAUUGAAAUUAAAAUUAAAACUUUAACAAUUCUGUUUUGCAGUGUUAGUAAGUGACUGGCUGCUCCUGUAUGGGAUUAGAACGAUGCCACCUUAUCCCAUAGUCCAGCCAAUCACGCGAUUCACUUUCUUAUAUAUGCAGCUAAUCAACGUCGUUGACAGGCUAUGACAGCGUUCUUAUGUGCCGACACCGGUGUUUUAGCUAGCAAAGCGGCGUGGCUGAUGAGGAG